AAUCUGUUUACUACUAGUUGCUAAGAGAAUUCUCAGAUCUAAGAAGAAUUCCUUACAUAAUAUCCAAGAUAUUUACGAGUUGAAUUCUAGAGCAUUCUUGGCAUUUCCAGGGUUUUCAUGAGUCUUCUAGAGGUUCUUGGCUGCAACUUUGGGCAGAAUUAGCCCCUUUCUAGAUUGUUCCGAGCAACUUUAAAGGCUGAAUCCAGGACCUUUCUAAGGGUGCCAACACGUUCCAGUAUUGUCAGGUUGUUCCGGAGACUUCUGGGCAACCCUAGACGCUUCCUUAGUUUCCGGAAACUUCCUGAAUGUGAAAUUUUUGAGUUGAAUUUUUGCGGGCGUGACACUACGCUCUGUAUACAAUUAGCAGGGGAUAACAUCAUAGGAUUUCGGUCCUAUUACGUUGGCCCUUGGGAUCGGAGUAUAUGAUUAACAAGGACACGUCGGGGGCCAUCGUAUUUCAAUAGUCAGAGGUGAAAUUCUGUGGAUUUAUGAAAAGACGACAACUGCGAAAGCUUUGCGCAAGGAUGUU
rnacentral:lncRNA from 1 species